AUGAGUGAUGCCAGACCACCUGAUAAAGAGGAAUUUUUUGACCACAUCCUUGUCAGUGUAGGAGUGUCAGCUACUCUUCAUGCAUUCAAUUUCAUUUCUAUGGAUGCUAUGGGCACCUACUACAAGGACUGCCGGAUUUGGCAAAGGUACCAGAGAAGACUGGGAUGA
rnacentral:lncRNA from 1 species